rnacentral:rRNA from 1 species
CUAGCCGUAAACGAUGGACGCUAGGUGUUGGCAGAUCUAACCCUGUCUGCGCCGAAGCAAACGCGUUAAGCGUCCCGCCUGGGAACUACGGUCGCAAGAUUAAAACUCAAAGGAAUUGACGGGGACCCGCACAAGCAGCGGAGCGUGUGGUUUAAUUCGAUGGAACACGAAGAACCUUACCCAGGUUUGACAUACUAGUGGUAGUGAACUGAAAGGGGAACGACCCGCAAGGGAGAUAGUACAGGUGU